rnacentral:snRNA from 1 species
UUGCUUCAGUAACACAUAUUAUAAAAUACAGAGAAGAUUAUUAUGGCCCUAUGCAAGAAUGACACUCAGAUUCAUGAAGUGUCCCAUAUUUUA